UCAGACGAUGCGUCAUGCAUAUCAAUAAGCGGAGGAAAAGAAACUAACAAGGAUUCCCCUAGUAACGGCGAGUGAAGCGGGAAGAGCUCAAAUUUGAAAUCUUAAAGGGUUUCCCUUUACGAAUUGUAGUUUAAAGAAGUGUUUUCUGUUGAGGUUUUGGUAAAAGUUCUUUGGAAUAGGACAUCAUAGAGGGUGAGAAUCCCGUAUUUGACCUUUACUUUCAACUUUGUGAUACACUUUCAAAGAGUCGGAUUGUUUGGGAAUGCAGUCCAAAAUGGGUGGUAAAUUUCAUCUAAAGCUAAAUAUUGGCGAGAGACCGAUAGCGAACAAGUACCGUGAGGGAAAGAUGAAAAGAACUUUGAAAAGAGAGUUAAACAGUACGUGAAAUUGUCAAAAGGGAAGCGUUUGACACCAGUGUUGUUUUUCUGAAAAUCAAUUAAAGAACUGUUUAUGCUAAGCUGUUUAGACUUUAUCAGCUAUCUGUUUAGUUUUGAGCUUUUCUUUAAUGCACUUUUCAGUUAACAAGUCAACAUCAAUUUCUUUUGCUGUAAAAAAGCUUGAGGAAGGUGGCUUGAGAUUCGUCUUAAGUGUUUAUAGCCUCUUGCCUAUGCAGUCGGAGAGAUUGAGGUCUGCAGCGUAGAUCCUUCGGGGCUAAAUGCAUUUGUGCUAAGUUAUAGCAUUUUAUAGACAACUUGUUGACUAUGAUUUGUCUUGUAGCUUACUCGCUUAUGUUAUUUUACCUACGCUUAGGAUGUUUGAAUCUGUGCGAGACUAC
rnacentral:rRNA from 1 species